CCAAGGGUUGGGCUGUUCGCCCAUUAAAGUGGCACGCGAGCUGGGUUCAGAACGUCGCAAGACAGUUCGGUCUCUAUCUGUUGUGGGCGUAGGAAUAUUGAAGAGAUCUGUCUCCAGUACGAGAGGACCGGGAUGGACGCACCUCUAGUGUACCUGUUGUGGCGCCAGCUGCAUUGCAGGGUAGCUAUGUGCGGAAUGGAUAAGCGCUGAAAGCAUCUAAGCACGAAGCCAACUCUAAGAUGAGUAUUCCAUGAGGGUCGUAGA
rnacentral:rRNA from 15 species